rnacentral:rRNA from 1 species
AGAGUUUGAUCAUGGCUCAGGACGAACGCUGGCGGCGUGCUUAACACAUGCAAGUGGAGCGACGAACCGGGCUUCGGCCCGGGGCAAAGCCGCGAACGGGUGAGUAUCACGUGGGUAACCUGCCCCGAUGACCGGGACAACCCGAGGAAACUCGGGCUAAUACCGGAUGUGCUCUCAAUCCACCAGGGUUGGGAGUAAAGGAAGCUUCGGCCUCCGCAUUGGGAUGGGCCCGCGGCCCAUUAGCUUGUUGGUGAGGUAAAAGCUCACCAAGGCGACGAUGGGUAGCUGGUCUGAGAGGACGAUCAGCCACACUGGGACUGAGACACGGCCCAGACUCCUACGGGAGGCAGCAGUGGGGAAUCUUGCGCAAUGCGCGAAAGCGUGACGCAGCAACGCCGCGUGAGGGAAGAAGGCCUUCGGGUUGUAAACCCCUUUCAGUUGGGACGAAGCUUCGCCGGUUAAUAGCCGGCUGGAGUGACGGUACCUUCAGAAGAAGCCCCGGCUAACUACGUGCCAGCCGCGGCGGUAAUAC